rnacentral:rRNA from 1 species
UACGAGUGCCCCAAGCGUUAUCCGGAAUCAUUGGGCGUAAAGGGUGUGUAGGCGGUGUUCCCAGUCUGUUGUGAAAUCUCCCGGCUUAACUGGGAGGGUGCAGCGGAAACUAGAAUGCUAGAGGGUGGGAGAGGUAAGCGGAAUUCCUGGUGUAGCGGUGAAAUGCGUAGAUAUCAGGAGGAACACCUGUGGUGUAGACAGCUUACUGGACCACUUCUGACGCUGAGACACGAAAGCGUGGGUAGCAAACAGG